UACUCGAGUGGCGAACGGGUGAGUAACACGUGGGUGAUCUGCCCUGCACUUCGGGAUAAGCUUGGGAAACUGGGUCUAAUACCGGAUAGGAACCAUCUUUAGUGUGGUGGUUGGAAAGUUUUUUCGGUGUAGGAUGAGCUCGCGGCCUAUCAGCUUGUUGGUGGGGUAAUGGCCUACCAAGGCGGCGACGGGUAGCCGGCCUGAGAGGGUGUACGGCCACAUUUGGACUGAGAUACGGCCCAG
rnacentral:rRNA from 1 species